AUUGAACGCUGGUGGCAUGCUUUGCACAUGCAAGUCGAACGGCAGCACGGGUGCUUGCACCUGGUGGCGAGUGGCGAACGGGUGAGUAAUACAUCGGAACGUGCCCAGUCGUGGGGGAUAACGUAGCGAAAGCUACGCUAAUACCGCAUACGAUCUACGGAUGAAAGCGGGGGAUCGCAAGACCUCGCGCGAUUGGAGCGGCCGAUGGCAGAUUAGGUAGUUGGUAGGGGUAAAGGCUCACCAAGGCGACGAUCCGUAGCGGGUCUGAGAGGACGACCCGCCACACUGGAACUGAGACACGGUCCAGACUCCUACGGGAGGCAGCAGUGGGGAAUUUGGACAAGUGGGGGCAACCCUGAUCCAGCCAUUCCGCGUGAGUGAAGAAGGCCUUCGGUUGUAAGGACUCUU
rnacentral:rRNA from 1 species